rfam:Ruminiclostridium sp. KB18, complete genome.
GAACGCCGGAUGAGCGGAAACUCUCAUGUCCGGUGUGAAGCGGGGGAAAAUCUGGAGAUGAUUUCAAAUGAUUACCUAUCGCUAU